GGAUAGGCUCCAGCCAGUGACAAGCACUUAAAGGGUUAUGUCCCUCUGAUAAAAGACACUUUCAUGGUGAUCUGUAAUAUGUUUUGCAUUUACGCCAAAAACAUCACUUGUCUUGCAAACUUCUCGAAUAUUAAAUACAUUACAAGAUAACUGGCAGCGGACGGAAACAGCUCUUCCGCAGCGCACACGUGCAUCUGGCCUCACCCCAUCUUCUUCGUCUUCUGUUAAGUUUUAUGGAAGUUGUCGUCCACAAGUGUUGCUUUACUGCCAUCUGCUGGCCUCACCCUUGCACCAUUUAUUCCGCUACGCCAUGGCAAUACGGAAAUGUUCCUGAAUGUAGUGCAUGUGUUAAUGGUGAAGAUUACUAGUGGUGCUUCAGGGUUUUAACAGAAGCAGAUGAGAUCAUAGUUAAUCAUACUGAAUUCAUAUUGAGUUGUUCAGCAAAAAGUUUAUCGAAAGGGUCGACGUUUUUCUAUUUUAAUUGAUUUUCAGUUUUUCUAGAAAAUAGAUUUUACACGACUCAGAAUUUUCCAGUUCAGUAUUAAAGUAAAUGAUAAGUAGCAUCCUAAAACAUCUUUCCCAAAGGAACAAAGCCCUGAUAUUAAGAUGCCUCUCCCAAGCCCUUUUCCUAUUAUUUCUCAAUUUGUCAUCAUUUAUUGAUGAGCCAUCAGCAGAGAGAGAGAGACGCAGCGUGAUUUAGCACUGUGGAAUGGUAAAGCACAGCGCUGGUUUCAGCGGGUUCGUCUGAGAUCUUUAGAUGUGGCUCUGGCUUCAAUUACACAUAGCAACCAGAUAUUCCCAGGAUAAGAGCAGAACACAGAUUUGUGCCAGGACAGAUUCUCUGUCCCAUCUACUGUCACGUCUGUCUUGGAAAGCCAUGAGGAGGGCCAUAGGUCAUUUCUGAUCAUUUGACAGUUUAAGGCAGCAGCAGCUUACAGAUAAUUGACCUUGAGGGGUCAGCGAAGCGGUGUGGGAGAGAAUGCAAUGUCUAAGAUAAAGACCAGGGAAAAAAAUACAGCUGGAUUGACUCUGCUAUGAUAUAUUUGAAAAUGGAUCUGAAAUUUGAUAAGUAGUAACCUGCAGCGUUCCGCUGACUGAGGCUGUCAUAUUUCACUGCUGUUCUCUUAUAUCAUGAUUUACAUCCCAGUCAAAAUGAUCCUGAUGGCCCACAGAGAUAAAUGUUGUGGCCUGCUGGAAAUAUGUCCUAAUGUGUACCAUGGUGUCCAACUCCCAGUUUUCUUACCCUCUUGCUGUCUCUCUUUCACUCUCUUACACCUCUCUCACACAGUCAUCUGUCUCCAUUCGACGUUACACUGCACAAAGAAGCACUUGUCCUGCGCGCUACACUACUCAUUUGUCAGUUGUGCAACAGCGGACAAUCCAACACUUAAUAACCCGGUGGCACGGCGCUGACCUUAAAGAUGCCUGUUGAUUUAAGUGAUGGUGACAUGUGGAAUCCUCCUAUGUACAUGUUGCACUGUGGGUGAAGGAUGUAUUUUCUGAUGUAACAGGAAAUCCUGAAUCGGUCCUAAUCCCUAAUUUAAUCCUGUAUUUACUUAUGCACAGCUCUUUCCUUUUAUCAAAACGUGCCUUCUUUUACAGCCAAAACCGAACUGGAAACACAAGAGAAGCAGCUGGCAGACACUCAGAAGAUCUUCUUGGAGUUGUGCGUGUCCUUCUCAGUUAAACCCAAGGCAGGAGAGAAAGAAGUCUCUCCCAACACUUUCUUCUCCAUUUGGCACGAGUUUUCCUCUGAUUUUAAAGAUCAAUGGAAAAAGCAGAAUAAGCUGAUGUUACAGGAGAGGGUCAAAAUGGCUGAAGAGUGCUUCAAACAGGCCAAGGAGAAGGCUUCCUACAACGUGAAACCCAAACAUGCAACUGGAAUAAAAGCAAAGCUGGGUCAGAAGAUCUGAAGCACAGAACGGAAAAUUAUCAUCACCCAGCCUACUGCACAAGCACUGUUUGUACAAUCUAACGUGACUCAUCAGUCACUUUUACAACAUGUAUUUUGCUUCCGGUAUUUGUUUUCAGUUGAUUUAGACCUGUUGUUUAUUGAGAGUUGGUUCAAAGUGGAUAUUAUAUUGUUUAAAAGUGGACUGAAUAAUGACAUUCUCAGCCACCCUUUCAUAGUGCUCGCAUAAUUAAAUGAAAUACUACUACCAAAAGACAUCCGUGGGCUGGGAUGAUUAAAUGCGGUUGAGUCAUUUACUAGAAAAUGCCAGAAAAUGCUCUGUGGAGUCUGAAAUUUGUAAUAACAAUAUAUCCAAGCUUUUUUCAGAGUUUUAUAAGCCAUAUGAAGCCUAUUUUCUUUUUUAGUACAAUUCCCAAGCCUAGUUUACUUGGAAGGCACGAGCACUUCCUCUUUAUAUCUCCCUUAAUGGUGAAAAGCAAAGAAUUUUAUAACAUUUCUACACGGUAGUUAUGAAUCACCUGCCAGACAGGAAGUGCCUUAUCGCACAGUGGAGGGGUCAAGUCAGUGCUGCAGAGCAGAGCUGACUUUUGAGACAUAUCAUCUGUAAUUAUGUUACAUAGAAAUCUGUUUUACAUAGCCGGAAACAUGACAGAUGUUCCUUUUUUUAAUAGUUUCAUCAAGUUUGUUUCAGAGUGUAGUGAUAAUUAUACAUAUGUUUCACAUCUCUGUUGUGGUUUAGUUUGUCUGUUCAUUAAAAAAAAACACGCAUACCUUAGCGGUGUCAUCUGCUACAGACCGACUAUUGUUUAUUCAGCAUCAUCAACAUGCUUUGUUUCAAGCAAAAUCCUAUGCAGUUAGUUUUGCCUUUCCUACAUGUGUGUGUACGAACUACCAUAAUGCAAAUGGAGCAAUAGGACCAUGUGACGUGACGUUCAUGUGCAAUACCAACAAUGUGUUUUGACUGAAUACCCUUGACCAUGAAAAAAUAUAUUUAUUGAGUAAAAGAAAUGACAAAUUUUUAAUAAAAAAUCUGCUGUUGCUGA